UACAGAGGUCUCAAGCGUUGUUCGGAUUCAUUGGGCGUAAAGGGUGCGUAGGUGGCAUGGUAAGUCGGAUGUGAAAUCCCGGGGCUCAACCCCGGAACUGCAUUCGAUACUGCUGCGCUAGAGUACUGGAGAGGAGACUGGAAUUCACGGUGUAGCAGUGAAAUGCGUAGAUAUCGUGAGGAAGACCAGUGGCGAAGGCGGGUCUCUGGACAGUUCCUGACGCUGAGGCGCGAAGGCCAGGGGAGCAAACGGG
rnacentral:rRNA from 1 species